rnacentral:rRNA from 1 species
UAAGGAAUAUUGGUCAAUGGACGCAAGUCUGAACCAGCCAUGCCGCGUGAAGGAUUAAGGUCCUCUGGAUUGUAAACUUCUUUUAUUUGGGACGAAAAAGGGCCUUUCUAGGCCAACUGACGGUACCAGAUGAAUAAGCACCGGCUAACUCCGUGCCAGCAGCCGCGGUAAUACGGAGGGUGCAAGCGUUAUCCGGAUUCACUGGGUUUAAAGGGUGCGUAGGCGGGUAGGUAAGUCAGUGGUGAAAUCCUAGAGCUUAACUCUAGAACUGCCAUUGAUACUAUUUAUCUUGAAUAUUGUGGAGGUAAGCGGAAUAUGUCAUGUAGCGGUGAAAUGCUUAGAUAUGACAUAGAACACCUAUUGCGAAGGCAGCUUACUACGCAUAUAUUGACGCUGAGGCACGAAAGCGUGGGGAUCAAACA